GGGGAACAUGGCUGAUGGCAAAUUCUUGAUUCACACACUGCCAUUCCCCUCAUCAUUCACUGCUUCCUUCCCCCUGCUGACGUUAUUUUUGGAAUGCUUGAACCUCCUUUCAGAGUAAUUACUUUUUCUCCUCAAAAUUCUCAACCAUGUGUCUUCCCCAUUGUGCAUCUGUGCUCUCCAUCUUGCUCACCUAAUUUUUCACUUCCUUUGUCUUCUCUGUGUAUCACUUACAUAUCCAUUCAUCACCAUCACUCAAAAGCUCAUCUUUUUUUCUAACCCCACUUCAUCUAUCUUCUAAAUCCACUACUUACUCUUUUCCUUUUUCCUUUCCUAAUGCUCUGUACACAACAAAUUUCUCUUCUGUACCUCAACACACCCUCCCUAAAGAGCUCCAUUCUGUCUCCACUUCUUCUGACUCCUUUCUUACUAUUUCUCACCUGGCAUUUACAUUUCCCCCCAAACGGUUCAAUUUUAGGAGAAAAUGGGAUGGGAGAUUUUUUUUUCUUUUUGUAACGAAAAAUGAUGUAGUGUUUGAGGGACAGUAGUCUCUUUUUUCAUUCACUGGAGGUUACAAGAGAUAAAGUCAGUAGAUAAGAAGAAAAACUACAUUCAGUAAAUUGGAAAUUGACACAUUUCUUUUCCUCAGGUUCCGCCAGUCUUUGCACUAGACGGGUCUGAUCCGAGCAAGUGGGACGAGCGAGUGCGCCUCCCUGCAGAGGGUGUCGUUCAAGCUUUAGCAGAAGGGAGAGAGCCAGAGCUUUCGACUGCCAACAUGGCCAAAGAAUCACCUGAUGUAGAGGAUGUCAACCGAGGUGACAAAACGCGGUACGAGUGCGACGUCUGUGAGCGCGUGGUGAUAGGAGAGAUCCAGUGGAGGGCUCACAUACAUGGGGCAAAGCACAGGAAGAUGCAGAGGAGACAAACGCUCCUCAAGGAAAAUUCCAAGAAAGAAGUGAACGUGUGAGAAAAUAUAUUUUAAAACAUUUAUUUUACUUUAAAAAACUGAUUUUACUUUGAUAUGGAAAAUGGCUAUUUUUUAUCUAGUCAUACUGAUUUGUACAAAAAAAAGAGGGAAAAAGACAUAUGUAGCAAAUUCAUGCUGUUAUACAUUGAAAUUGAAGCUGUACAUGUAUCAUAUGUAUAAAGUUCCUGAACUUUAA
rnacentral:lncRNA from 1 species